AGUGAACGCUGGCGGUAGGCCUAACACAUGCAAGUCGAACGGCAGCACAGUAAGAGCUUGCUCUUACGGGUGGCGAGUGGCGGACGGGUGAGGAAUACAUCGGAAUCUACUUUUUCGUGGGGGAUAACGUAGGGAAACUUACGCUAAUACCGCAUACGACCUACGGGUGAAAGCAGUGGAUCUUCGGACCUUGCGCGAUUGAAUGAGCCGAUGUCGGAUUAGCUAGUUGGCGGGGUAACGGCCCACCAAGGCGACGAUCCGUAGCUGGUCUGAGAGAAUGAUCGGCGACACUAGAAGUGGGACACGGGCCAGACUCCUACGGGAGGCAGCAGUGGGGAAUAUUGGACAAUAGGCGCAAGCCUGAUCCAGCCAUACCGCGUGGGUGAAGAAGGCCUUCGGGUUGUGAAGCCCUUUUGUUGGGAAAGAAAAGCAGCAGGUUAAGACCCCGCUGUUCUGACGGUACCCAAAGAAUAAGCACCGGCUAACUUCGUG
rnacentral:rRNA from 1 species